rnacentral:rRNA from 1 species
UAAUUGAAGAGUUUGAUCAUGGCUCAGAUUGAACGCUGGCGGCAGGCCUAACACAUGCAAGUCGAGCGGCAGCGG